AAUGUCCCUGUCGGGGAAGGAUUUGCCAUCCGCUCGGUAUCGAGUCUUGAAUGUGGCUGAGCCGAGAAGUAUGUUGCAAACAAGACGGGUAAAGCCUAGACAGUGAAUCUAGUAGGGCGUAGGGAAAAACCGCGUUCCCAUUAGUGCUGGGAAAGUACAGCUUCGAAAGAGGGGGAUUGCGGAUGCUGAGAACAUAACGGGCUACGAGGACGACACGAUUUUAUCCGUAAUUGGCGAGUAUGAAUAGAACCGUCGGAGUCCGCGGGCC
rfam:Planctomycetes bacterium GWF2_50_10 gwf2_scaffold_2270, whole genome shotgun sequence.